GCUGGUUCUCGCGCCGGCCUCUCCGGGGCUCGGCUCCUUUCUCUGGGCGGGGCGGGGCCGGCGCCCGCAUCACCGUGACAUCACCUCCAUUCAGGCGCUAAUCGGGCGCCCGCGGAGCUCCAGGGACCAAGCCCUCUGCUGCACAUCUUUCUGAAGAAGAGGGGAGGGAGGAGGCAGAAGUGUGGCUAUGGAGUCACGAGAACGUCUGAAGGCUGCAUGAAGGGCACACCCCACCCUCCUGCAGCCAGCACGACAGUCAGAGGGGCCGUAGCUGUUACCCCCCUGCCAGGCUCAGACGCCCAGUGCACAAACUUGAUGACCUGAGCUGGUUGACUGGAAGGUCCCCAGGCGCUGAGAUUCAGCAGUCUGCAUGGUGACCGCACCCUCCUCUCUGGCCUGGGAAGGGUUUGAACCAAGCCCUUGGGAAAAUCAACAGCCACACCUGUUGCUCACCUGAAAUCUUUCCUACAUAGGUGUGACCCUUCCUCCCUGAGGUCAGAGAGGACCUGAGGCCAGAAGGUGUGCGGCCAAGCCCUGCAGGAAGCACAGACCCACCCACACAGCGCUUAGGGCACAAAUGAUUUCUUUGGCUUCUUUCUGUGGUCAGAAACAAGGUGCCACCUACACCCACCCUACCAGCAUAACCUAGGGGAGCCGGGUUUAAAACUGGCUUCUCUUGGGCUCAAAAGAAUCCAGAUCACAAUAGGUAGGGUUAGAUUACUCAGCCCAGCGGCUCCCUUUAGAUGUAGAAAAUGCUUUUGGAAGCCCAGGGCCCUGGGGCCUGCACAGGACACACGCUGUCAGCCAGGUCACAUGACCUCCCAGGCCCCACCCCUCCUCUACAGUGUAGCUCUUCCUGCACUGAAAAUCCCUUUUACUGUGUAACGUAAUAAAGUCAGGGUGACUCCUGAGGACAGGGACAGAGAUCACUGGGCCACCCUAUUCCGCAGUGCCUGAGGCCCCUGUGUCCCUAACCUGGCAAUACUCCCAGCCCAGUUUCUGGGAGGAAGUGCCCUUCUCUGUUACUCAGUGAGGCCAGACCAGAAUCCCUAGUACGGGGAUUAUAACAGUGGGGUGGACAGAGGCUGGACAGGCCCGCGGGCAGACAGCUCUUGCCCAGAGGCCAGCUCCCUCCCAACCCAAACAACCCCUACCCACAAGUCUCAGCCUGAAGUUUCAGCUUCCAGUCCAGGAGCAAGGAGAAGCUUGAGUGAUGCCAGAGAACAGAGAGCCAAGAACUUGCAGUUCUGACUACAGGGGCCUCAUCAGCCAGGAACCCCCAUCCCCAGCUUUCUUUUUGCAGUUUUACCUGGUUCCCUCACCGACAUCAUAAAAAUCGUACCCAUUCAUUUAAUAUUUAUUGGAGUGUUGGGGAGGAAGAACUUUCCUCCACCCUUUGAGGUUCUCCUUAGCUGGUCUAAGAAUCAAACUGACAGGACACAGAUUACCAGGAUAAAAAGCCAAAGUUUAAUUAUCUACAUAGGGGGAAGCCAUAGAUGGGGGUUCCCAGGACAGUCAGGGAGAAUGAGGUCUGUGCGUCAUCCUGAACCGAGGAGAAGCGGGUAGGGGCCUGAGACAAGCAAGAAGGGGUGUAACUCUCCGGAAUAUGAAAAGAAAUGUUUGCUAAACAAAAUACUGAUGGACCAUACAGAA